rnacentral:rRNA from 1 species
AUGCAAAGCCGCGAGGCAGAGCGAACCCCGAAAAGCCGUCCCAGUUCGGAUUGCAGGCUGCAACCCGCCUGCAUGAAGUCGGAAUCGCUAGUAAUCGCGGAUCAGCAUGCCGCGGUGAAUACGUUCCCGGGCCUUGUACACACCGCCCGUCACACCAUGAGAGUCGGAACACCCGAAGUCCGUAGCCUAACUUUAACGAGAGGGCGCGGCCGAAGGUGGGUUCGAUAAUUGGGGUGAAGUCGUAACAAGGUACC